GAUGAACGCUAGCGGCAGGCCUAAUACAUGCAAGUCGAGGGGCAGCGCGGUAGCAAUACUGGCGGCGACCGGCGCACGGGUGCGUAACACGUAUGCAACCUACCUUCAACUGGAGGAUAGCCCGGGGAAACUCGGAUUAAUACUCCAUAACACAGGGAUCCCGCAUGGGAAUAUUGUUAAAGCUACGGCGGUUGAAGAUGGGCAUGCGUUCGAUUAGCUAGUUGGUGUAGGUAACGGCUCACCAAGGCUACGAUCGAUAGGGGGUCUGAGAGGAUGAUCCCCCACACUGGUACUGAGAUACGGACCAGACUCCUACGGGAGGCAGCAGUAGGGAAUAUUGGUCAAUGGAUGGAAGUCUGAACCAGCCAUGCCGCGUGCAGGAAGAAGGCCCUUCUGGGGUUGUAAACUGCUUUUGCCAGGGGAUAAAAUGACCUUGCGAGGUUAAUGAAGGUACCUGGUGAAUAAGCCACGGCUAACUACGUGCCAGCAGCCG
rnacentral:rRNA from 1 species